GGCUUCUGUCAUGUGCAGCAAUUUCUAUGGAUUUUUUGUGGGAGUUAUGUAUAGGGAAGAGGAGGAACAAUUUAGCAGUAAGUUGCUACAUGAAUUUGUGAUGAGGCUUAUACACUGUGGUAAAAAUAACGAAGUGUGGGUACGCCUAGGUGAUCGUGUUGCCAGAUUUAGUAUGCAAGAAUAUUGUCUCAUCACUGGAUUACCAUGCCAUGAAUCAUCUGUGGAGAUUAAUCAUAAUAA
rnacentral:lncRNA from 1 species